rnacentral:rRNA from 1 species
AGCGAACGCUGGCGGCAGGCCUAACACAUGCAAGUCGAGCGCCGUAGCAAUACGGAGCGGCAGACGGGAGAGUAACACGUGGGAACGUACCCUUUGGUUCGGCACAACCCAGGGAAACUUGGGCUAAUACCGGAUAAGCCCUUACGGGGAAAGAUUCAUCGCCGAAGGAUCGGCCCGCGUCUGAUUAGCUAGUUGGUGGGGUAAUGGCCCACCAAGGCGACGAUCAGUAGAUGGUCUGAGAGGAUGAUCAGCCUCACUGGGACUGAGACACGGCCCAGACUCCUACGGGAGGCAGCAGUGGGGAAUAUUGGACAAUGGGCGCAAGCCUGAUCCAGCCAUGCCGCGUGGGUGAUGAAGGCCCUAGGGUUGUAAAGCCCUUUCGGCGGGGAAGAUAAUGACGGUACCCGCAGAAGAAGCCCCGGCUAACUUCGUGCCAGCCGCCGCCGUAACAC